GACGAACGCUGGCGGCGCGCUUAACACAUGCAAGUCGAGCGAGAACCAAGCCUUCGGGCUUGGGGACAGCGGCGAACGGGUGAGUAACACGUGGGUACUCAACCCUCGACACUGGGAUAGCCCGGGGAAACCCGGAUCAAUACCGGAUACCCCAUCUGGCCUUCGGGCCGGCCGGAAAAGGUAGCUUCCGCCUCCCGUCCGGGACGAGCCCGCGGCGGAUUAGCUGGUUGGUGGGGUAAAGGCCCACCAAGGAGACGAGCCGUAGCUGGGCUGAGAGGACGAUCAGGCACACUGGGACUGAGACACGGCCCAGACUCCUACGGGAGGAAGCAGUGGGGAAUCUUGCGCAAUGGGCGAAAGCCUGACGCAGCGACGCCGCGUGAGGGAAGAAGGCCUUCGGGUUGUAAACCUCUUUCAGGAGGGACGAAGCCACUCGGGUUAAUAGCCCAGAGGGUGACGGUACCUCCAGAAGAAGCCCCGGCUAACUACGUGCCAGCCGCCGCAGUAACAC
rnacentral:rRNA from 1 species